rnacentral:tRNA from 1 species
UCCACCGUAGCUCAAUGGUAGAGCGCCCGGCUGUUAACCGGGUGGUUGGGGGUUCGAGUCCCUCCGGUGGAGCCA